rnacentral:rRNA from 1 species
UGGGGAAUAUUGCGCAAUGGACGAAAGUCUGACGCAGCGACGCCGCGUGUGGGAUGAAGCUCUUCGGGGUGUAAACCACUGUUGCCCGGGACGAAUAUCCUUUUUUGAAAGGAUUGACGGUACCGGGUGAGGAAGCACCGGCUAACUCUGUGCCAGCAGCCGCGGUAAUACAGAGGGUGCGAGCGUUGUCCGGAAUCACUGGGCGUAAAGGGUGAGUAGGUGGCUCGUUAAGCGUGUGGUGAAAGCCUGGGGCUCAACCCCAGGUCUGCCGUGCGGACUGGCGAGCUGGAGCAUAGUAGAGGCGGGUGGAAUUCCGGGUGUAGCGGUGGAAUGCGUAGAUAUCCGGAAGAACACCGGUGGCGAAGGCGGCCCACUGGGCUAUUGCUGACACUGAAUCACGACAGCGUGGGGAGCAAACAG